rnacentral:rRNA from 1 species
AAUGAACGCUGGCGGCGUGCCUAACACAUGCAAGUCGAGCGCGAAAGUGACUUCGGUCACGAGUAGAGCGGCGAACGGGUGAGUAACACGUGGAUAAUCUACCUGGAAUUGGGGGACAACUUGGGGAAACUCGAGCUAAUACCGCAUACGCUCGCAGCUCCUCGGAGCUGCGUGGAAAGAUAGCCUCUUCUUGAAAGCUGUCGAUUUCAGAGGGAUCCGCGUCUGAUUAGCUAGUUGGUGGGGUAAUGGCUCACCAAGGCGACGAUCAGUAGCCGGCCUGAGAGGGUGAUCGGCCACACUGGAACUGAGACACGGUCCAGACUCCUACGGGAGGCAGCAGUGGGGAAUAUUGGACAAUGGGGGAAACCCUGAUCCAGCAACGCCGCGUGGAGGAUGAAGGUCUUCGGAUUGUAAACUCCUGUCAGGUGGGACGAAGGGCUGCGGGUUAAUAUCCCGUAGUCUUGACGGUACUACCAGAGGAAGCCCCGGCUAACUCCGUGCCAGCAGCCGCGGUAAUACGGAGGGGGCAAGCGUUAUUCGGAAUUAUUGGGCGUAAAGGGCGCGUAGGCGGCCUGAUAAGUCAGUGGUGAAAUCCCUCGGCUCAACCGAGGAACUGCCUCUGAAACUGUCAGGCUUGAGGCCGGGAGAGGGUAGUGGAAUUCCCAGUGUAGCGGUGAAAUGCGUAGAUAUUGGGAGGAACACCCGUGGCGAAGGCGGCUACCUGGACCGGUUCUGACGCUGAGGCGCGAAAGUGUGGGGAGCAAACAGGAUUAGAUACCCUGGUAGUCCACGCCGUAAACGAUGUCAACUAGCCGUUGGAAUCCUUGAGAUUUUAGUGGCGCAGCUAACGCAUUAAGUUGACCGCCUGGGGAGU